rnacentral:rRNA from 1 species
GAUGAACGCUGGCGGCGUGCCUAUACAUGCAAGUCGAGCGAACAGACGAGGAGCUUGCUCCUCUGACGUUAGCGGCGGACGGGUGAGUAACACGUGGAUAACCUACCUAUAAGACUGGGAUAACUUCGGGAAACCGGAGCUAAUACCGGAUAAUAUAUUGAACCGCAUGGUUCAAUAGUGAAAGACGGUUUUGCUUUCACUUAUAGAUGGAUCCGCGCCGCAUUAGCUAGUUGGUAAGGUAACGGCUUACCAAGGCAACGAUGCGUAGCCGACCUGAGAGGGUGAUCGGCCACACUGGAACUGAGACACGGUCCAGACUCCUACGGGAGGCAGCAGUAGGGAAUCUUCCGCAAUGGGCGAAAGCCUGACGGAGCAACGCCGCGUGAGUGAUGAAGGUCUUCGGAUCGUAAAACUCUGUUAUUAGGGAAGAACAAAUGUGUAAGUAACUAUGCACGUCUUGACGGUACCUAAUCAGAAAGCCACGGCUAACUACGUG